UACGUAGGUGACCAGCGUUGUCCGGAUUUACUGGGCGUAAAGAGCGCGCAGGCGGUCGUUCAAGUCGAGUGUGAAAGCCCCCGGCUCAACUGGGGAGGGUCAUUCGAUACUGAUCGACUGGAAGGCAGGAGAGGGAAGCGGAAUUCCCGGUGUAGUGGUGAAAUGCGCAGAUAUCAGGAGGAACACCGGUGGCGAAGGCGGUUCUCUGGGAAUAUCCUGACGCUGAGGAGCGAAAGUGUGGGGAGCGAACAGG
rnacentral:rRNA from 1 species